AACGAACGCUGGCGGCGCGCCUAAUACAUGCAAGUCGAGCGAGAAGACGUAGCAAUACGUUUGUAAAGCGGCGAACGGGUGAGGAAUACAUGGGUAACCUACCCUCGAGUGGGGAAUAACUAGCCGAAAGGUUAGCUAAUACCGCGUACGCUCCUUGGACUUCGGUUCAGGGAGGAAAGCGAUACCGUGGGUAUCGCGCUCUUGGAUGGGCUCAUGUCCUAUCAGCUUGUUGGUGAGGUAACGGCUCACCAAGGCUUCGACGGGUAGCUGGUCUGAGAGGACGAUCAGCCACACUGGCACUGCGACACGGGCCAGACUCCUACGGGAGGCAGCAGUAAGGAAUAUUGCGCAAUGGG
rnacentral:rRNA from 1 species